UUAACCGGGAAGUGUCAGGGUAAAUCCGAAACAAAAAUGGUUUCUUCCAUCUGAUCUCUGAAAUCUCCCACCACUACUUUGUUAGGGUUUAAUCAAUCAAGGAUUAGGGUUUUCUUUUGUAUCCUUAAGAAAUCGAUUGAGUAUCCUAUCCUUCUGUGCAAACACUAACAAGCCAGUGAGCUAGUGUGUUGAGAUUAUGGCAGUUGAUGAAACAGUGAAGAUAAAGCUAUACUCUACUAGAUUGCUCGGGGGAGUAAGUCAGAGGUACAGACUCAGAUGUGCCUAUUGCAAUCUUUCCUAUCCGUACCUUUCAAAAUGGAUUAGUCAAACACUGGUGUUUGUCGAGAAUUGGAAAUCCUAACCUCUUUUUAUCAGUUCACACUUUUUUAGGUUGCUUGGGAGAUGAAUACUGGAGGUACUGACUCAGGGGUUUGUAUUGGAAUCCUUCCUACAAGUGAAACAGUCAUCUAUCCUUACCUUUCAAAAUGGAUUAGUGAAACAGUGGUGCAAUCUUAAUUGUUGACAAUUUGGCAAUCUUAUUCUCUUUAUCGGGAAUCACUGAGGUUCCUUUGCGAGAAGGGCAUCCAGAUUUUCCAACAGCAGAAUAAGCCGAUGAAGAGGUAAGGGUUUCACAUAACCAGAAUUCUGUUAUUUCUUUGUUUUCUCAUUUCUCUUUCUUGUUUACUUCCUUAUCAGGUACUAAUUGUUUACCUUUUAAUGAGAAUCGUGCACAUAUAUUUAUUUCCGCAUAUCUGAGUCUUUUAACACAGUUAGAUAAUUAUGGCCAACCGAAAUAAUGACUCGGCUGAAGUUUUGCACUACCCUUUACUUACAUGUUUUAUGCUUGUUGUGGGGUUCUUUUGCGAUAAGGGUAUACAGCAUGCCACAGAAACUAACCUUAUUGUAUGGGUACAAAUGUACAGUAUAUUGCCUAGUACUAGACAUGCCAGGAAUGACAAGCCUCAUAGGUAGUCUUGUUUGAAAUCAGCCUCUUUGACUAAUCACUUGCAACAGCUAUUUGUCAUUUUCAAAAUAGUCACUUCCGUUAGAGCUAUGUAUGCAUCCCACUCAUGUCAGAUAUGUAGAUCUAGAGACAAGAAGCAGAUCGCCACGUCAGUGAUCAUAUACUAUAAUUUUCUCAAAUUGAACAGUAUUCCGACCUUAGCUCAGUUGGUAGAGCGGAGGACUGUAGUAGUUUGCAGCUUAAUCCUUAGGUCACUGGUUCGAAUCCGGUAGGUCGGAAUUAUCUUUUAUGUCGUGCAACUUUCAAAGUGUAAGAAAAGGCCGCUCCAGGUAACUGUACUUCUUUUGUGAAUUUUAUAAACUUUGUUGUGCGAUUUGCUUAGACUUUGCUCGCAAUUGCACAGAUACCAAAAUUUAGUAUGGGUUUAAACGUACGGUAUUUUGACUAAUGCUAUAUGUGCCAGGCAAUGACAAGCCGUAUAGGUAAUCUUGUUUGAAAUCAGCCUCUUUGACUUCCAACGGCUAUAUGUCAUUUUCAGAAUAGUUGCUAAAUGUAGAGCUAUGCCGCUACGUCCGAGCAUGCAUGAUAUUCCUCGGCAAUAUGCAUGAUAUUAUAGAUAAGAAGCUGAUAUAUGAUAAUUCCUCGAAUUGAACAGUGUUGCGACCUUAGCUCAGUUAGUAAAGCGGAGGACUGUAGUGGUUUGCAGCUUAAUCCUUAGUAUAGACUUUUGUUAGUAUAGACUUUUUGCUUAGAUUUUGCUCGGACACCAGCGAAUCAAGCCAGAUCAUGAAGGCGAAGGCGCUGCAGUAUGAAAUUUAGGUUUGCACAUGGAGAGCCAUACAGAUUCAUGACACUACGACAGCAAAGAAAUGAACCUUAUUGUAUGGGUACAAGUAUCUUGCCUAGUACGGGAUAUGUUAUGCCUUAUAGUAGUCUUCAUUCGAAAUAAGCCUCUUUGAAUGAUCACCUGCAUAUUUUUCAGAUUGCAACAUUGAAAGUAUUGAAUAUGCGACUGCCUGACAUAUGACAGACAUGGUUUUAACCAUCUAAGUGAAUAUGUACGUUAAUCCCUCAGAACAGACAAAUUCCGACCUUAGCUCAGUUGGUAGAGCGGAGGACUGUAGUAGUUUGCAGCUUGAUCCUUAGGUCAGGUCACUGGUUCGAAUCCGGUAUGUCGGAAUCAUUUUUUUUUUCCUUCUCAAAACAUUUUCUGGUUUUGCACUACCCUUUGCUUACAAGUUUGAGGUUCCUUUGCGCAUUUUCUGGUUUUGCACUACCCUUUGCUUACAAGUUUGAGGUUCCUUUGCGGGUUGCGCAUCCAGAUUUUCCAACAACAGAAGAUGCCAAUGAAGAGGUAAGGUUUAUAAGAUUGCAUUACUCAUUCCUCAGAGCAGUUGUACUACUCAUUUAAAUUCUCUUCAUUUUUGGCAAUGGCAGAUGGUGAACCGGAAGAAAAGUAAGAAUGAAAAGUUUGUUGGGGGAUCUAUGGAUUUCAAACACCUUGUAAUGUGUCAUUGGGCCAUAUCUUACUUCUUGUUGUCUGUUCAACAUGUCAGGCCUUGGGUUCCGAGGUGUAACUUCAUAACUUCAUGAAGAUGACCAUAAGCUCACAAGACAUCUUUGCGUGUGUAUCAUUGUAUGUGUGCUGUUUCUAAAUUUUAAAUAUAUGUACUCCUACUGUUGGAAUAUGCGGAAAUUCCGAGCCUUA